rnacentral:rRNA from 1 species
GUGUCAGCAGCCGCGGUAAUACGUAGGGGGCAAGCGUUGUCCGGAAUCAUUGGGCGUAAAGAGCGCGUAGGCGGUCCGGUAAGUCCGCUCUGAAAGUCCGGGGCUCAACCCCGGGAGGCGGGCGGAUACUGUCGGGCUAGAGUCCGGAAGAGGCGAGUGGAAUUCCUGGUGUAGCGGUGAAAUGCGCAGAUAUCAGGAGGAACACCGAUGGCGAAGGCAGCUCGCUGGGACGGUACUGACGCUGAGGCGCGAAAGCGUGGGGAGCAAACAGGAUUAGAAACCCCCGUAGUCC